rnacentral:rRNA from 1 species
ACCGUGCUAAGGUAGCAUAAUAGCUUGCCUUUUAAUUAAAGGCUUGUAUGAACGAACCAACGAGAGUUUGACUGUCUCCUAGAUAAACACGAAAUUUAACCUUUAUGUGAAAAGGCAUAAAUAAAACUAAAAGACAAAAAGACCCUGUCGAGCUUAAUUGCUAACCCCCCGAUAGAAAAAUAAUUUACUCUUUCCAGGAAAUAAACCAAUUUAGUUGGGGCAACAAGGGAACACCUAAACCUUCCCUUAUGAAAUUUAUUUUAAUCAAAAGACCCCCAAUCGGGCCAAAAGAUAAAAGCUACCGCAGGGAUAACAGGUUAAUUUUUCUCGAGAGUACACAUUAACAGAAAAGAUUGGCACCUCGAUGUGGGGCUUAGG